rfam:Eubacterium sp. CAG:161 genomic scaffold, scf60
UAGAGGAGAAAACCAAAUGAACGAAGUUCAUUUAUAAGGACGUUUUCGACGAAAUGCCGCUGACCGAAGGGAGGGGGCAAUACACAAU